rnacentral:rRNA from 1 species
GUCUAUAGCCAUGACACCCUGAACAAGCCUUAUGUCUGAUCUCGGAAGCUAAGUAGGAUUGGGCCUGGUUAGUACUUAGAUGGGAGAUCACCUAGGAAGACCAGGUGCUGGAGGGG